rnacentral:rRNA from 1 species
CAUGUCUGUCUCCGUUGGUGACCAGCGGAGGGUCAUUACCGAGUUUACAACUCCCAAACCCCUGUGAACAUACCUUAUGUUGCCUCGGCGGAUCAGCCCGCGCCCCGUAAAAAGGGACGGCCCGCCGCAGGAACCCUAAACUCUGUUUUUAGUGGAACUUCUGAGUAUAAAAAACAAAUAAAUCAAAACUUUCAACAACGGAUCUCUUGGUUCUGGCAUCGAUGAAGAACGCAGCAAAAUGCGAUAAGUAAUGUGAAUUGCAGAAUUCAGUGAAUCAUCGAAUCUUUGAACGCACAUUGCGCCCGCCAGUAUUCUGGCGGGCAUGCCUGUUCGAGCGUCAUUUCAACCCUCAAGCCCAGCUUGGUGUUGGGAGCUGCAGUCCUGCUGCACUCCCCAAAUACAUUGGCGGUCACGUCGAGCUUCCAUAGCGUAGUAAUUUACACAUCGUUACUGGUAAUCGUCGCGGCCACGCCGUUAAACCCCAACUUCUGAAUGUUGACCUCGGAUCAGGUAGGAAUACCCGCUGAACUUAAGCAUAUCAAA